AUGUGUGCUCUGUUUUCCCUUGUCUGUGACAGUCUGGCAAACUGGGGUGAGGAGAUGGCGAUGUGCUACUGGGGCGUCUCUGGCAUUCAGAUCAGGAAGCGAACAUGGAAACAAAGCUGCACAUCUUGUUAGACCUUUCCUGAAAAUGGUUCCUUGCACCCAUAGACGGAGCACCAGAUAUGAGGAGAUAGGAGUAUAUGAUGGAAUGUGGAUGAGCCACGUGGCUUCUAACGAGGUGUUUCAAUUACUGGACUUUAUACCUCUUGGAUUUCUAUAUAAGGACUUUUUCACCUGGACUUUAUCAUUUGGAACACAGGGGUUGGGUGUUGCAAUUUUUCACUUGAAAUAAACACGCAGGGAUAAACCCGCUUGCAUUGUACCUGUUGUGCCGGGCAAAUUCUUCAUAUCCUGUAAUUGAGGGUGC